UAAGAAAUAGAUCCAAAAUACAGUUGACGGUGACUUAAAUCGCACAGAGCUGUAUUAACCCUAUUAGUUUUUGGUCACUCUACCAUUCACGCUGCAGCUAAUACGACCUGGAGGGAGGGGAGAGGGAGGCGGGUAAUGAAUCAUCUGCUAGUUCACCAUUUCCUAAUUACAGGCACUCCCUCUCAGGACACGUAAUUAAUUUACUGAGUUGGAAAAAAAAAAGUC
rnacentral:lncRNA from 1 species